GUUCUACGUUCGAUAUCCGUUUUUUUUUUUCAAUUUUUCUUUAUCAAUAUUCUGUUAUUGCAAAUUUAUUAUUAUUGAGUGAAAAAACAUGUAGGUAUGUGGAAUGGUUUUGAGAGAAUGAUCAGAUACAAUUUGAACUCCAACUAAAUCAGGAAAAAAACUCGAAAAUUUGUAUCAAAUUUUUUUUUUCGCCUUUUGAUUUAUUAUUCCAAUACGCUCUAUUACUGAUGACGUCACGCCGCCAUUUUAUUUCUCCUGUCAGUGUUCAAAAUCCAAACAAAUAUAUUGUCGUCCAAAUUAGUACGGUGUUCUUGAAGAAGUCGAGUUAUUUUCAUAAAUAAGAUUAUUUCAGGAACGAUUUUAGUAUUAAUUAAUAGACAAAAGGAACAAGAUUAAUACCAGCUCAUCAUAAUAACCUAUUUUUAUGCUCAUCAUAAUAUAAGUGUGACUGACAAAGAAUGUAGUUGGGCUACUCCAAAUACAACAACUGUGCGAGAUGUAGUAAUCAUUGCUGACCUAUUUCCUGAAACUAAGAAGUUAAAAGCCUAACUUUGUUGUUUUGAUUUUGAACACUGACAGGAUAACUGAAAUGACGGCGUGACGUCACAUUAAUAGAGCGUAUACAUACUUAAGGAAUUUUUGGAGAAAAAAGUUGAUUGAAAUUUCUCAGAAAUUGUUUAUUAUUAAUUAUUUUUUAUUAAUCUACGGAUGAAACAUAGAUAUUGAAAUAUUAAAGAUGAUUGUUAUAAGAUUCUUAUAGUAGGCUAUGCUGUUGAAUUGGCUUGAUAGCGUGGAGCUCCAUCUGUUGUGCGUCUGAUGUAUUCAAAUUGCAAAUAAUUUUGUAUCAAGUAUUAUUGUAACAUAAAAUGCUUUCAUUUCAAUGAUGUCAUAUUGUAUUAUUGUAUAAUUUCGAGGAAUUGAUCAUUUUGAAUUGUAUUUGUUAAUGUUUAACUUUUGAAUAAAUGAGUUAUUGAAGUCUAAACCUCGAAGAUCAGUAUUUAAUUUAUAUACUUUUCUCAAAUGAUUCUAAUGUUUUAUUACUAUUAUUAAUACACACUGUGUGAAUAUUUGCACUAUGCGCAGAGAAAUAAUGGGACAUUUUGAAACUUACAAAACAUCUUUAACUCUUCUGAGGAUCAAUUUAUGAACAAAAAAAAUAAUUCA